UUAAGUUGCAUAAAUUAACCUAAUUUCUUUACUUUUUUAAAAUUUUUUUGGUGUGCAGGAGAUCUUAAUUAUUGUUCUAAGACAGACACAUUCGUUGGUGGGUCUUGUGGAAACAGUCAGUGUUUGCUUGAUUUUUUAGGAAAGUAUGGAGCAAGUAGCAUGCCAAAGGAUUGCACUUGCAAACCUUUAGGAUCUAAUCAACGAUCCUGCACUUGCCUAAUUGUUUGUAAAGAUUAAGUUGCUUGAAAAAAACAUGUAUUCUGGAUAUCAGAAAUAAAAUGGAAUAAAGUUCAAAUAAGUAUCUAAAGUUUUUGAGAUAUUCAAAUAAGUUCCUUUUAUCUUGUUGGCUAAAUACACCCAAUUCAAAUCAAGUCCAAUAGGCUCAAUUCUGGGUCAAAAUGUAAAUAAUAAUCUCUCUAAUGUAUACGGUUAAUAUUAAUAUUUUCAUUGGCUAAAAUGAAAUAAAGGUUUAUUUUGUAAUAAAAUUAUUUGAAUAAAUUAAAUUCUUGUAAUAUUACGUAAAGUUUUAAUGGUUUGUGAAAUGAAAAUUUUGAUAUUAAAAAGAAUUAAAUUCCUUCAUUUUAAAUAUAAUCAACCUCACUUGAACAAAUUUUUUAAAUUAUUUUAUAAUUUUGAAAACUUAUAAUAGUUAAAGUUUGAUUAAUAAAACGUUAUUAUAGAUGGUCGAAAAAAUAAUUUGUUACAAAUAAUUAUAUGAUAGUUCAGGAAUUUUAGUUUUACUUUGGGUCCAUUUUGUUGUUAGGAUUUUUAAUCAGAAAAAUUAAUUAUAUGAUAGUUCAGCCGGUUUUGUGGUGCCAGGAGUCAUUUUCUGAGGCCGGUCACCUACCUCACUGAGGUCUUGCGCAAGAUUCAGGCUCUUUGGCCUUACUGUCGCUUCAUCAUCUCAGCCGAUUUUGUGGUGCCAGGGGUUAUUUUUCGAGACCAGUCACCUACCUCACUGAGGUCUUGGGCAAGAUUCAGGCUCUUUAGCCUUACUCUUUCUUCUGAAUUUUUUCUGCAAAAUAAGAGUUUACACAAAGUAUAUAUAACGAGAAUGUUUAUUGCUAAUUCAAUAAUAUUCAUCAAUAAAUAAUAUGUCGCACAUGGCACUUAACUUUAUAUUUCAGAUGAAUGUAAAUAUAGUUUUCACUAACAAUAUUAACUCGUACAAUUUAAAGGUUCAAUAAAUAAUAUUUUGUAUGUGUAGAUUUCUCAAAAUUUUACUUUACAAAAAGUAAACAUGCAUGAUCCUUUUCAUUAGAAUGUUCAUGCUACUUUUAGAAUGUUCAUGCUACUCUCAAUUAGCAACAAAAGCUCUCCCGCCAAACUAGUAUAUUAUUAGGCAUAUAUUUGUGUACUCAUGGAAAUUUUAUUCUAAGAUUUAAACUUUGAGACCUGAAAUGCUGAGUUGGUCAGUCUAAGGGGUUUUGUAGGUUUUGGGCCAGCUAGUUCACUUGGGCCUGAUCUUGCCCAGUGUGGAUGAGACCCAGCAGUCGUCAGUUUAUACACAUUGUAGUAGAGAGGCCGUUAGACAUCACUAACAGACAAAAGGAAAUUAAUAAAAGGGGAGGAAAGUCUUUCUCUCCAGCUAAAUUUACACACAUUGUAAAAUCCUAUUUUUCUGAAUCUCUAGAGCAUCGGUAUAAAGUAAGUAGUAUGCCAAAGGAUUGCACUUGCAAAUCUUUAGGAUCUAAUCAACAACUGUAGUCUUGCCAAAUUGUUUCUUAAGAAUAAAUUCUUUUAAAAUAGCAUGUAUAUUUGAAGCUCUGGAUAUCAGUAAUAAAAUAGAAUAAAUUUCAAAUAAACUCAUUUUAUCUCGUUGCCCUAACUUCAGUAUUUGUUGCUUUAUAUUUCAAUAGUUAGAAAAUAAUUAUUCUUCUUCUAAACGGUGGAAACUUUGCAACCCGCGAUGGCGAUAAUGAAGAUUUUGAAAAUUUUUGCAUGGCUCUAGGAUUCUCAAUAUGUUAGGUUGUGGGCUUCAGAUGAGCUUGGACUUUAGAUUCUCAUAUGCUUAUAUUUUGGGUGUCGGCGUAUGUGUAAUGAUAAUCUAUAUUUUUAGAAAAAAAAACUUUAUAUAUUAAAAUAUGAAACAUAAAAAUAAUAUUAUUUAAAUGAUUUUUUUUGUUACUUUUAAUAAUAUAAAAUAAAUUGCACUCACAGUUUUAAUAUGUGGCAAGUGUAUUUAACUAAAUCUGAGAGGUUUCAGAUUUUACUCUUUCAAUUUUUGAUUUUAUUUUACAAAAAAAAUAAUAUAAAAAAAUUUAUAAUUAGUGAAUUGAAAAGUAUUUAUUUUAAUAGUCUAAUAAUUCAAUGUUUUAAUGCACUAAUUUAAUAUGGCAAUAAUAAUUUAUUAUAAUAAUAUUAGAAGAAUAUAUUUAUUAAAUAUAUUUUAUUAACUAAUAUAUUUUGUUAUAUAAAACAUAUCUUUUUUUAGAAGAAUAUAAAAAUAGAAUCUAUUAUUAAUAUGAAAAAAGGUAAGAUAUCUCUUCUUUGAUCAUAAUUCAAAAUGCAAACAACAGAUCCUUCAAGAUAUAAUCAGCAUAUAUUUCGAAAUUAUUAUAUUAGCUAAAAUUAUAUUAACAUAUAUAACUAUUUGACCUUUCUUUUCUAUUUUUAAUAUUUUUUUAUUUUCGUAGUUAAUUACACAUUCACAAAAGACAAUCUACUUCAUUUUUUAUUAUUUAUAUAAUGGAAAGAAAAUCUACUUUCCUUUUUUAUCUAUAUAAAAAGAAAUCUACUUUCCUUUUAUAUCUACAUAAAAAGACAUCAACUUUCCUUUUUAAAAAAAUUUUUAAUAUAUAAAAAAGAAACACAUAAAUUAUUUAAUUAGCUGAGUGCUUAUAAAUAGAAGACGCAAAAAAAGAUUAUACCAUUCUAACUUAAAGAGAGGAGUGGAGUGGAGGAAAAAAAAAUGAUGAAGCAAACAACUCUCAUCUUUAUUUCUUAUCUCAUAAUGCUAUUAGCUGCUUUCCAAUAUGCUCAAGGUAAAUUUUCAUAUUCAUGAUUUAUGAUUACAAUGAAGUAAAGAAUUAAGUUGCAUAAAUUAACCUAAUUUCUUUACUUUUUUUAAAUUUUUUUGAUGUGCAGGAGAUCUUAAUUAUUGUUCUAAGACAGACACAUUCGUCGGUGGGUCUUGUGGAAACAGUCAGUGUUUGCUUGAUUUUUUAGGAAAGUAUGGAGCAAGUAGCAUGCCAAAGGAUUGCACUUGCAAACCUUUAGGAUCUAAUCAACGAUCCUGCACUUGCCUAAUUAUUUGUAAAGAUUAAGUUGCUUGAAAAAAACAUGUACUCUGGAUAUCAGAAAUAAAAUGGAAUAAAGUUCAAAUAAGUAUCUAAAGUUUUUGAG
rnacentral:lncRNA from 1 species